rnacentral:rRNA from 1 species
UCUUAGAAUUCAUAAGACCCUGAACAUGCCUAAUUGUCCCUGAUCUCUGAAGCGAAGCAGGGCUGGACCAGGUUGGUAAGUGGAUGGGAGACCACCUCAAAAUACCAGGCAUUGUAGGCU